CAGGUCCUUUUCCUCGCCCUCCAAGGACUACAGUGUACCCUAGUCAUUCCUCAUGCUGAUGGAGCAUGGCUUUAGAAGAUACCUGAUAAUGUACACAUGCCAUGACACCUUCAGAUAUGGCAGAUGUGCCCAAGAAUUCUGUAGAUGGUCUUUAGGUUUAUGCCACAUAAUUUGCAUUGUUAGAAAUUGAAGCACUACACUAGUGUCCCUUGUUAUUGGAACCCGGAAUCCUUCCCAGGGUUUCUCUUAGAGCCUUACUUCAUCCUCCAUUUAUCUUUUGAGAUGAGAAUAGAGAAAAAGAAAGGAAAGCCAUUCAA